UGCCAGCAGCCGCGGUAAUACGGAGGGUCCGAGCGUUAUCCGGAAUCAUUGGGUUUAAAGGGUCCGUAGGCGGGAAUCUAAGUCAGUGGUGAAAUCUUGCAGCUCAACUGUAAAAUUGCCAUUGAUACUGGAUUUCUUGAAUUAGUGUGAAGUGGUUAGAAUGUGUAGUGUAGCGGUGAAAUGCAUAGAUAUUACACAGAAUACCAAUUGCGAAGGCAGAUCACUAACACUAUAUUGACGCUGAGGGACGAAAGCGUGGGGAGCGAACAGGAUUAGAUA
rnacentral:rRNA from 1 species